GCGCAUUCCGCAGGUCAAAUCGCUUACCGUAAAAACAAUGAGAAAGGAGUAGGAAUGGAAACAAAGGGCAACGGGCAAAGAAAGGAGAGGGAGAAGGGGGAGGAGGGAAAAAUUGAAGUUAAUUUAGAAUUGUUAGUGGGAAGGAAAAAAAGGGUGCGUAGAGGUGGGGGGAGAAGGUUGAGUCUUUUUGGAACCAAACAAUCCAAGAAAGCUCCAUUUCUUCUUCCCUCUUCUUCUCCAGUCUCUCUCUCUCUCGCCCCAUCGAAGGGAGCGAAGAAACGCACAGCUCUCUUGUCUCCGAAAAACACCCUUAGGAGGUUUAUACGACGAAAUAGCGGCGGCGGCGGCGGCAAUUUGGGGGAGGUUUUGGUCGAUGGUAGACCGGUAAUCGGUGGAUGGUGGAGCGAUCUUUGUCUAUCCGUUUGAAGCGAAGAAAUGCCGGGGUGUCUUCUUGAGAUCCGUUUGGCGCUUGGUGGGCUCGUGGGGUCGUCGUUGUUGGAUCGCUAGAAGACGAAGAAGACGGUGCUCGUCCUGGUUCUUGAUUCCCAGCUUGAUGGCGGCCACGAAACGCGCCUACAAGCUACAGGAGUUUGUGGCGCAUUCUUCCAAUGUCAAUUGCCUCAAGAUUGGGAGGAGAACCUCGAGGGUUCUUGUCACGGGAGGAGAAGACCACAAAGUCAAUCUUUGGUCUAUUGGAAAGCCAAAUGCCAUAUUGAGCCUAUCUGGCCAUACAAGUGCGGUUGAGUCAGUAAGUUUUGAUUCAUCGGAAGUAUUAGUGGCUGCUGGAGCAGCCAGUGGCACAAUAAAGUUGUGGGAUUUAGAGGAGGCAAAGGUUGUUCGCACUCUUACAGGUCACAGAUCAAAUUGCGUAUCAGUUGACUUUCACCCAUUCGGGGAGUUCCUUGCUUCUGGGUCAUCGGAUACAAAUCUAAAGAUAUGGGACAUCCGAAGGAAGAGCUGCAUUCAUACGUACAAAGGCCACACUCGAGGUGUUAAUGCUAUUAGAUUCACUCCUGAUGGUCGCUGGGUUGUUUCUGGUGGGGAAGAUAAUGUCGUGAAGCUCUGGGAUCUGACUGCUGGGAAGCUUUUGCAUGAUUUCAAGUGCCAUGAGGGUCAGAUUCAGUGCAUAGAUUUUCAUCCUCAUGAGUUUCUCCUUGCAACAGGCUCAGCUGAUAGAACUGUAAAAUUCUGGGACCUUGAAACUUUUGAGUUGGUUGGAUCUGCUGGCCCUGAGGCUACUGGUGUACGUUCGAUGACAUUCAAUCCUGAUGGGAGAAAUCUUCUUUGUGGAUUGCAUGAAACUCUGAAGGUUUUCUCCUGGGAACCAAUAAGAUGCCAUGAUGCUGUAGAUGUUGGUUGGUCUAGACUAUCAGAUCUGAACAUUCAUGAGGAAAAACUUCUUGGAUGUUCUUACAAUCAAAGUUGUGUUGGAGUUUGGGUCGUGGACCUCUCGCGCAUUGAGCCAUAUGCAGUUGCUAGUGCUGCCAGGUCAAAUGGUCAUUUGGAAUCAAAAUUCACUUCAAGUGGUAAUUUGUCUUUGCCAGCUGGCAACAAUUUAAAGACAAGUAUUGGGAGGCUAUCAAUUUCACAAAAUGCAGAGCUGGCAGUCAAGGAGGCAAAGCCUGUGGCAUCUACUGGAACUGUCCCUGGCACCCCUCAAAGGAUUGGAAUGAGCACCGGUCCAAAAAUAACUGCAGCGAAUUCAGCAGCAGCACCGGGUGCUGCAACUCUGAAGAGAAGUUCAUCAAAGACUCAUGGUACAGCCAAUAUUCAGACUUUCAACAAAAGUGAUGUGGUACCUGUUAUUGUCCCCAGAACUAGCUCAAGAGUGGAGCUGGGCUCUGAUUCUAGAAAAGAAACUGGUGCUGGAAGAACACUACCAUAUAGCGUCCGGUCCAAAUUUUCUGAUUUCCAGGAGUUAUCAAAUAUCAGAGAUGAUUCCAAUAGAAUAGAUACUUCCAUGCAAUCUAAAUUCAUGGGCAGUAAAAACUCUGAAUCAAAUGAAGUUUUGGACCAAAAUUUUCAGCCUACUGGCAGUGGUGUAGAUCCUCCAGUGGGUGCUGGAGAACAUAAACUGGAUGACGUUAUAUGCAGUGUGACUGGGAAGCUGGGAGCAAGUCCGUUGACUGAGCCAAGCACUAGUUAUAACCAUGAAAAUUAUAACUUUAGGGCCCAUAAGCCAAGCGAGACAUGCUCUGUGGAAGUUCUAAAAGGAGGUAAAACAAGAUCACUUGUUGCAAGUUGGGAAAGGAGAGAACAAUCUUCCAGCUACGAGAGUCCGACACCCAGCAGUUCUUCCGAGACUACAACUGCUACUAAUGUUUCAUAUUCUUUGAGGGGACACUUUCCAUCUGUUGAAAAAGAAACAAUCUCUGCUAAUGAUGAAGGUGCUAUUACUGAUCUGAUGGAACAACAUAAACAAUUCCUAGACUCAGCACAGACUCGGCUGACAAAAUUACAGGUUGUUCACCGGCUUUGGCAAAGAAAUGAUUUCAGGGGUGUCAUCAAUGCAGUGGAAAAGAUGUCUGAUCAUGCUGUAGGUCUCUGCUGAUGUAGUAAGCAUUUGGACAGAAAAAAGUGAUAAUGUAACUCUGGAUAUAUUCACUUGUCUGCUACCAGUCCUCACUAGCCUUCUAGAGAGUAAGAUGGAUAGGCAUUUAGGGAUUUCCUUGGAGAUGCUGCUGAAGCUUGUCAGAACCUUCGGCCCUGUAAUCUACUCAACUUUAUCAGCAGGUCCAUCCGUUGGUGUGGACCUUCAAGCAGAGCAGAGGCGGGAGCGGUGCAACUUGUGCUUCAUUGAGCUGGAAAAGGCCAAGCAUAGUCUUUCCACUCUCACAGGAAGAGGAGGGUCUAUUGCAAAGGCCGCAGAGGAGCUGAACCUUGCUCUGCAGGACGUGCAGGAGGUGCUGUGACUGACUGACAGAUUUGUAUACACAUGCAUAGGGGUUUGUCAUGAUUCAGCUCUGUCAACCCACCAAUGUAUAGCUGAAACUACAGCUGCUUAUAAGGAGCCUCUUAGGGGGCAUCAGGGCACUGAAGGCCACCUGUAACAACCAAAGUGUUGGCUGUUUUAUUUAUGUUCGUAAGCUUGCUAAUGGGGCACCAGAAGGUCACGCAAUGGUGAACAGGGGCUUUGCUGAGUUGUCUAUAUUUGGCAGCAAGAACAAGGAGUUCAGAAAUUUGAUGAACUUCCAGUGAACUGCUAACCUUGACAGAGAGAACCCUUGCUGCCCCUUUUAUAUGUCAGUUGUGUUACGCUUGUAUCAUUUUGUCACAUAAUACAGUCCCACACAGUUUGUUUUUCUUGAUAUUCAAGCCUGGCCCGUCCAAUGUUUGGCUGGCAAGGGCCAGGAGGAACUUAUCUUCAUGUUGCGUUUUCUUUGUAUCUCAAUUACAGGCAAUGGAAAAACUGUUAAUUGAUAGUUCUUAGCAGA